rnacentral:misc_RNA from 1 species
AAGUCGUAACAAGGUUUCCGUUGGUGAACCAGCGGAAGGAUCAUUACCAUAAUCCAUCAUUGGAAUAUAUCAACCAACUAUGUGAACCUAUAAAACUGUCUUUUGGGAUAUCGUAUAUCAUCCCAAAUGCAUGUGUUUGUCUUCGGAUGAACCUCCGUGCAUUUCUGAUAUCGAUAUUCCAAGUGUUUUUUUCAAAACACUUACCAUAUUAAACCCCAACAUAAAACUUAACCACUGAAUAAAAAGCAAUGCUUUCCAUGGCAUUUGCGAUUAAAAGUUAAUAUAUGACAACUUUUAACGGCGGAUCUCUUGGCUCGU